rnacentral:rRNA from 1 species
AACGAACGCUGGCGGCAGGCUUAACACAUGCAAGUCGAGCGCCCCGCAAGGGGAGCGGCAGACGGGUGAGUAACGCGUGGGAACGUACCUUUUGGUUCGGAACAACUCCGGGAAACUGGAGCUAAUACCGGAUAAGCCCUAACGGGGAAAGAUUUAUCGCCGAAAGAUCGGCCCGCGUCUGAUUAGCUAGUUGGUGAGGUAACGGCUCACCAAGGCGACGAUCAGUAGCUGGUCUGAGAGGAUGAUCAGCCACACUGGGACUGAGACACGGCCCAGACUCCUACGGGAGGCAGCAGUGGGGAAUAUUGGAUAAUGGGCGCAAGCCUGAUCCAGCCAUGCCGCGUGAGUGAUGAAGGCCUUAGGGUUGUAAAGCUCUUUUGUCCGGGAAGAUAAUGACUGUACCGGAAGAAUAAGCCCCGGCCAACUUCGUG